rnacentral:rRNA from 1 species
AUAACUUCGGGAAACCGGAGCUAAUACCGGAUAAUAUUUCGAACCGCAUGGUUCGAUAGUGAAAGAUGGUUUUGCUAUCACUUAUAGAUGGACCCGCGCCGUAUUAGCUAGUUGGUAAGGUAACGGCUUACCAAGGCGACGAUACGUAGCCGACCUGAGAGGGUGAUCGGCCACACUGGAACUGAGACACGGUCCAGACUCCUACGGGAGGCAGCAGUAGGGAAUCUUCCGCAAUGGGCGAAAGCCUGACGGAGCAACGCCGCGUGAGUGAUGAAGGUCUUCGGAUCGUAAAACUCUGUUAUUAGGGAAGAACAUACGUGUAAGUAACUGUGCACGUCUUGACGGUACCUAAUCAGAAAGCCACGGCUAACUACGUGCCAGCAGCCGCGGUAAUACGUAGGUGGCAAGCGUUAUCCGGAAUUAUUGGGCGUAAAGCGCGCGUAGGCGGUUUUUUAAGUCUGAUGUGAAAGCCCACGGCUCAACCGUGGAGGGUCAUUGGAAACUGGAAAACUUGAGUGCAGAAGAGGAAAGUGGAAUUCCAUGUGUAGCGGUGAAAUGCGCAGAGAUAUGGAGGAACACCAGUGGCGAAGGCGACUUUCUGGUCUG